UGGGGGAUUCUUGGGGGGAUUUGGGGGCAGGGAUGGGGGGGAUUUGGGGGUAUUUAUGGGCAGGGAUGGGGCAUCUGGGGGGGGAGUUUUACAUUUAGGGUAUUUUUUGGUGGCGUUUUGGGGUGAUUUGACGCCGUUUUGGGGACGGCAAAAGGGACGGGAAGAAAUAGGGCCGUUUUGGGGCUUUUUUGGGGUAUUUUGAAGCGGUUUUGGUGAUAUUUGAAUCACUAAAUUUGGAAUCCAAAAGGAUUGCUGGGGGCAUUUGGGGGCUAUUUGAGCUUUUUGGGGGCCGUCUUAGCGCGUUUAGUGGCACUAAAAGCGAUUAUGAGGAUGACGAGGAGGAUUUUGGGUCCGUUUUCAGGUAUUUUGGGGCCGUUUUCAGGUAUUUUGAGGCCGUUUUCAGGUAUUUGGGGGCCAACCCAGGGCGUUUGGAGACACUGUAAGGGAUUAUUAACGCUUUAAGGGGCGUUUUGGAGCUGUUCUCUGAUGUUUCGAAUCCAUUUCGGGGCAUUUUGUGCACUAGCAGUGAUCAUAAGGAGCAUUUUGGGGCCAUUUCGAGGCAUUUUGGGGGUGAUUGAGGUCCCGCCGCCAUUUUCCUCCCGCCGCAGUCCUCCAAACGCCAGCCCCGCCCUUUCCGUGGGGGCGCUCUACCCUCCGCGCCUUUAUGGUAUCCCUCGCUGCGCCGCGAGCGGUGGCGUCACUUCCGGUGGCGCUCUGGGCGGUGCGUCUCGGUGGUUCCGGCGUGAAGGCGGCAGUGGUGAAAGUCACUUUGACGGGAACUGCGACCAUCGGUGACUGGGAGGAACUGGGAGAGACUGGGGGGGUACUGGGAGCACUGGGAAGGGCAUUAGUGCCUUACUGGGAGCUCUGGGAAGGGUUCCAGGGCCUUACUGGAAGCACUGGGAAGGCUUCUGAUGCUUUACUGGGAGCGCUGGGCCUUACUGGGAGCACUGGGAAGGGUCUCAGGGCCUUACUGGGAGCACUGGGCCUUACUGGGAGCACUGGGAAGGGUCUCAGGGCCUUACUGGGAGCACUGGGAAGGCCAUUAGUGCCUUACUGGGAGCGCUGGGCCUUACUGGGAGCACUGGGAAGGGUCUCAGGCCUUACUGGGAGCACUUUGAAGCCCAUUAGUGCCUUACUGGGAGCACUGGGCCUUACUGGGAGCACUGGGAAGGGUCCUGGUCCCUUACUGGGAGCACUGGGAAGCAUCUCAAACUCACAGCACCCACAACAAGAUCCUCAGUGCCUCCCUGAGUCCCCUUUAAGACCCCCCAACCUCCUUCCUUUCCCCCC
rnacentral:lncRNA from 1 species